rnacentral:rRNA from 1 species
UACGUAGGGUGCAAGCGUUGUCCGGAAUUAUUGGGCGUAAAGAGCUCGUAGGCGGUCUGUCGCGUCGGAUGUGAAAAUCCAGGGCUCAACCCUGGACCUGCAUUCGAUACGGGCAGACUAGAGUUCGGCAGGGGAGACUGGAAUUCCUGGUGUAGCGGUGAAAUGCGCAGAUAUCAGGAAGAACACCCGUGGCUAAGGCGGCUCUCUAGUACGGUACUGACGCUGAGACGCGAAAGCGUGGGGAGCGAACAGG